AUAUUGGGCAAUGGGCGCAAGCCUGACCCAGCCAUGCCGCGUGAGUGAAGAAGGCCUUCGGGUUGUAAAACUCUUUCAGAUGGGAAGAUAAUGACGGUACCAUCAGAAGAAGCCCCGGCUAACCUCGUGCCAGCAGCCGCGGUAAUACGAGGGGGGCAAGCGUUGUUCGGAAUCACUGGGCGUAAAGCGUACGCAGGCGGAUAGGUAAGCUAGGGGUGAAAGCCCGGGGCUCAACCUCGGAACUGCCUUUAGAACUGCUUAUCUAGAGAUCGGAAGAGGAUGGCGGAAUUCCUAGUGUAGAGGUGAAAUUCGUAGAUAUUAGGAGGAACACCAGUGGCGAAGGCGGCCAUCUGGUCCGAUACUGACGCUCAUGUACGAAAGCGUGGGGAGCAAAC
rnacentral:rRNA from 1 species